AGAACAGCCAUAAGCUGAAGAAGGAGAUUACCUUCUCUAGAAACCUGCUCAGCCAGCUCCUGAUGGAGAACACAUGUAGGAAGAAGUUGGCCCCACUGAAGCAGGAGAGCAAGGAGGUACAUCUUGAUUGUGCACUGAACCAGAAAUAUUUGGUUGACUUCAACAAGAAAGAUAAAGACCAGCAACGUCCAGACCCAGCAUCAUCUGGUAGGGUUGAGCAGCUGUGUUAGCUUAAAAAUAUCUGAUAAAGUUUGCCAAUUUGAUACAUCUUUGCUCUCUCCUACCACCUUUCUAAUUUACACUCACAACCAGCCAACCUCCUCAUGUAGUGGAAUUGUUCAUUGCUCUGCCUAUGCACAAGUAUUCUGGGAAGCCAACCACUUUUCAGAAACUGAAUUAUUUUGCAAGUAUAUUUGUCUGCUCUUUUUGAAGCUGCAGUAUAGAAAUGGUGACAGAUUAAUAACAUACCUCAUCAUUGCAUAUCCACGUGAUAGAUUGGAUGCUCUGUAGAGUUUUGAACAAGUUCUUGGUUCUUUGACAAAUGACACUCUGUGGUCAUGUGACUUCUUGUGUGGGAAGCACCUUUGCGGGAUAAGAACAAAAUGCAAAUGUCAAAUUAGAACUUGUCAUUGGUUUUAACCUUGGUGACAUAUGGACAUCUACUUUCUUCCU
ensembl:lncRNA